CCACGCUUUCCACUGGAAUCGGAACUUGCUUUGAAUACAGAUAGAAGAUAAUGAUGUUCUCAGAAACAUGAUUGAUCACAGAACCCUAUCAUAUCCUUUCUUACGUUACUUCCUCGUACCAACCAACCACUUUUGCUGAAGAUGAUGCUUUUCAGGCAGAAAGCAGAGGAAGCUGCGUGACUCAGACAGUAUCACCAGGGAUGUUAAGCAGGCUGGCCCAUCGCAAGAGCCAAGGAGUGUAUCUCAUUCCCCACGUGCAGAUGAAGAAAAAGCAACAAAGAGCAUCUAGUCCAUUGAAUGCCUGGUAAAAAGGCAUCGUCUUCCUCAUCAACAUGGAUGGAGCAUUCCUGUCAUGCCCACAGAAAUGAAAGGCAAAUAGCCUGACUCUGAAUCAAUGCUUAGUUCUUCCCUGGCUCUGUGACUGCAUCGACGUAUGGUCUUCCAUGGAGAAGUGUGCAUCCCUAUAGAUGCCCCACCCAUUUCAUACAUCCGUUAGGAAUGUGACAUGUGCAGAGGUAAGCGAGAGUGCUUCUUAUGCUCUAAACCUGUGAACCACCACAUGGAUGUGUUACUGUGUGGUGUAAAGAAUAACAAAAAAUAUUAGAUAUACUGUUUUUAACAACUGAAGGUGCUACUAUUAGGUAUCUUACUAAUUGUAUUCAUAGUAAGAAUAAUGAGCAACUUGAUCUUUCUACUUUGAGAAGAAUGCUUAAUUAUAGAUAAGAAUAGGUAGAAGUGACCUAACUUCAAAAAUAUUUCCAAAAUCGGCAAUUCAUGGUCAAGGUGAACUUAGCACCUAAGUUAUGUGACCUAUUAGUAAUAACUUUCUAGGUUGUGCUAUACUAAAAUUUAUGUUUUUCUCUGAUAGUUAUGUAUUAUUCUAUAACAAAACACUUUUAUUUUUCUGUUUGUAAAAGUAAUACAUAUUCAGAUUCAGAUGAUACAAAAAUGUCAUAAAUUCGCAAGAGAAAAUCAUUCAUAAAUGUCUUCUCUUUAGCUACUUCAAAAAAUAUUUUAAAAUAAGUAAAACUUCUAAGUUAAUAUAAAGAAAUUUUAUGAACAAACAUUACCUAUGGGGAUUUUAAUCUCUCAUACG
rnacentral:lncRNA from 1 species